CUACGGGGGGCUGCAGUGGGGAAUUUUGCGCAAUGGGGGAAACCCUGACGCAGCAACGCCGCGUGCGGGAUGAAGGCCUUCGGGUUGUAAACCGCUUUCAGCAGGGAAGACCACGACGGUACCUGCAGAAGAAGCUCCGGCUAACUACGUGCCAGCAGCCGCGGUAAUACGUAGGGAGCGAGCGUUAUCCGGAUUCAUUGGGCGUAAAGCGCGCGUAGGCGGCCGCUUAAGCGGGACCUCUAACCCGGGGGCUCAACCUCCGGCCGGGUCCCGAACUGGGCGGCUCGAGUGCGGUAGAGGCAGGCGGAAUUCCAAGUGUAGCGGUGAAAUGCGCAGAUAUUUGGAAGAACACCGAUGGCGAAGGCAGCCUGCUGGGCCGGCACUGACGCUGAGGCGCGAAAGCUGGGGGAGCGAACAGGAUUAGAUACCCCGGUAGUC
rnacentral:rRNA from 1 species